AGCCGUUAUUUAACUUGAAGUUUGCUGCAAAAGAACUUAAUAGGAAUGCCAAGAAAUGUGAUGAAGAAGAAAAGGCUGAAAAGGCCAAGAUUAAAAGGUAACAAGUCCAUAUGAGGCAUAGUUAAGUCUGUGGGUGCUUCAUUGAGGAGUAGAACCUUGAAAAGACUUCAGCCUUGAUGAACAAAUUCGAACACCAGUUUGAAAUAUUGGAUAUUCAAACACAACAAAUGGAGGAUAAAAUGAGUAACUCUACAACCCUAACAACACCACAAAACCAAAUGGAUAUGCUGCUUCAGGAAAUGCCAGAUGAAGCUAGAUCAGGGCCACAGGACAUAAGUCUACAUGCUUUCCUGAGAAAAAAACGAAUGUUUGUUGGGUGCUUACUGUGUACAGGUGUGUCACAAACUUUUGUGUCGUAAUUCUCCUAACAAUCCCACAAGGUAAGAUAUUAUUCCCUCUUUAUAAUAGGCUGGACCUGAGGUUCAUAACAAUACAGUGUUCUCAGACGUAGAGAUUGAAAAAGGCUGAAUUUAAAACCAAGUCUGUUUGGAUCCAAAGCCCAUAAUGUUUACACUCUGCCAAAUUGUCUCUGAAAGAGAGGCGUCUGCCAAAUUCGCUAAUGGAGAUUUAUUCUGCAGGACAGUUUGGAUUUUAGGUAGUAAUAGCAGCUACCUUUUUUCCCCAGCAUUUCUUAUGUACUGAACACUGUGUUAAGCAGUUACUAAAUGUUAUUGCUAAUCACAAUUCUGGUGAAGGUAUUAUUGCUUACCCUUUUUUACGCAUGAGGAAACUAAACUUUAGAAAAAUUAAGCAACUUGACUAUGAUGAAGACUUAGUACAUAGCCCAGCCCUUAUUGGAGCCUUGGCUCUUAAUCAUUAGAUGUACUGUUUCCCAUUUGAAGGCCUCAGAAAACAGCAAUACUUAAACACUCACUACCAGUAGAAUUUGAGGCAUAAUGGCCAGGUUUAUAAGAUUUUUUUUUAAGUGAGAGAUUGUAAUGCUUCUAUUUAUAGGGUGAUCUCUGUCUGAGGUUCUCUUCUUUGUGGAGAUAAACAUAUCAGAAACGCUGUCUGUUACCCACCACGGCAACCCCAAUCUUUAAGCCCCAGUGCAACUAUGAAAUGACUUGAUACCCACCUUAUGCAGGGAUGUUAAUCUCCUCAUUACAGUCCUUUGCUUUUUCUCCUGGAGCAAAUAGUGCUGGAUAACCAUGGGUGCUGGGUCUGACCAGUUAGGAGUCACUGCUUUUCUGAGGAUGGCAGACUGUUAGGGUCUUUGGGGUCGAACACACAGUUUUAUUGUUUUAAGCCUUCUCUGCAUGAGCAGGCUCUGCUCAUGUAAAUUACUACUGAGAGGUGGGGGCUGAGGGUUGCCAUUACUAGGGCAAAUACAUCAAGAGCCUGUAAGUUAACUGCUUCUCUACAGUAGAAUGAUUCAAAGAGAAGUGGCCUCAGAUCAUUUAAAGUCCUUGGAGUAUUUGCUAUUGACUGAGCUAUCAUUUUCUGCUUAUGACGUGGAGCUAUGCUAGUGUAGACCAGCGUCUUAGUGUCCUGAAGGGUCUCGAGUACUUGUAAAUCUUCCACUGAAAGCAGCUCACUAGGAGGGAACAGCAGUGGGCCACUCAGGGUCCUCCAAGAAGCCUCCAAUGUAUACAUCCCUACAAAAUGUUACUGUUUCUUCUCUGGCUCUUGGGCUAUCCCCUCUGAACAGGAGAGGAGGAAGCAGUGGCAGCCAGCUUCCUUGGUGACUUCUUUCCUCCCUAUGACUACCCAGAAAAUGGUGUUAUUUGUGACUAUCCAGGCCUCCUACUCCCUCAUGGAACUGAUGAGGACAUUGAGACCCACAGAAGGACAUGCCUGAUAAAUAUGCUCUAUCCACAUCAAAUCAAUGGAUUUUCAUGGCUCCAAGAUAUGAGGUAUGGUAAUAUUUAAUUUGACAACAUCAACAGUACCUUUUUUUUUUUUUUGAGACAGAGUCUCGUUCUGUUGCCAAGGCUGGAGUGCAGUGGUGCAAUCCCGGCUGACUUCAAUCUCUGCCUUUGGGUUCAAGCGAUUCUCCUGUCUCAGCCUCUGAGUAGCUGGGGUUACAGGCACGCGCCACCAUGCCUGGGUCAUUUUUGUAUUUUUAGUAGAGACGGGGUUUCGCCGUGUUGGCCAGCUUGGUCUUAAACUCCUGACCUCAGGCAAUCCUCCCAUCUCUGCCUCUCAAAGUGCUAGAAUUACAGGCGUGAGUCACUGCGCCUAGCAAAGAGUGCUUUUUAUUCAGUAGAUCUUUUCUGGUGUGUGAAACUUUACUAACCUUCAACCUAUUUUUCUCAUGUGACUAAGGAUUUAUCAUUUAUUUCAUCAUCGUCAUCAUUGGCAUUACUAUUAUUCAAAAACUUGAAUUUCUCUAACACCUACUAAUUUACAGCAUGCCUUCACAUAUGCCAUGAAAAUUCAGUUUCACAACUCAAAAGAGGGAGGCCAGACAGGAUAUUAUUAACCUCGUUUUAUAGAUGAAUGUCAGGAGAUAAAGAUAUUGAGCGAUUGCUCCAACGUCAAACCCAUCCACCUGUGGAACUAAGUUUCUAGGAGUCUCCCCACUUUAUCUGCUCCAGAGAAUAUUGGCAUGCUUUGCCCAAAUGCCACCCUAGCAACCAAAUUAUUUUAAUAACUAUGCCACCAGCCGCAUUGCCUGGCUUUCCAUUAUUUGAGACUCAUUCUUUUGAGCUGCUGCUUUUGCUACAAAUUCCUUGGAAAAAAAAUAUCCCAUUAAGCAGUACUUACCACUCACACAUUCAAUGUGAUUUUUUUUUUUUUUUUCCUUGAGACAGAGUUUUGCUCUUGUUGCCCAGGCUGGAGUGCCAUGGCACGAUCACGGCUCACUGCAACCUCUGCCUUCCAGUUUUAAACAAUUCUCCUGCCUCAGCCUCCCGAGUAGCUGGGAUUACAGGUGCCACCACCAUGCCCAACUAAUUUUUUUGGAUUUUUAGUAGAAACAGGGUUUCACCGUGUUGGCCAGGCUGGUCUCGAACUCCUGACCUCGUGAUCCACCCACCUCGGCCUCCCAAAGUGCUGUGAUUACAGGCAUGAGCCACCACGCUCAGCCUCAAUGUGAUUUUUAUUUAUUUAUUUACUUUUUUGAGAUGGUGUUUUGGUCUUGUUGCCCAGGCUGGAGUGCAAUGUCGCGAUCUUGGCUCACUGCAACCUCUGCCUUCUGGGUUCAAGCUAUUCUCCUGCCUCAGCCUCCCGGGUAGCUGGGAUUACAGGUGCCCGCCACCAUGACCGGCUA
ensembl:lncRNA